rfam:Triticum aestivum genome assembly, contig: Triticum_aestivum_CS42_TGACv1_scaffold_423626_5BS
AAGAUACUCCCUCCGUCCCAAAAUUCUUGUCUUAGAUUUGUCUAGAUACAGAUGUAUCAAGUCACGUUUUAGUAUUAGAUACGUCCGUAUCUAGACAAAUCUAAGACAAGAAAUUUUGGGACGGAGGGAGUAUAUG